rnacentral:tRNA from 1 species
AAAGAAUUAGUUAAAAAUAACCUUAGUAUGUCAAGCUAAAAUUAUUAGAAUAUCUAAUAUUCUUUG